CGCGAGCCCCGCCCCCGCCCGGGGCCCGGGGACGUCCCCGCCGCGCGGCCCCCGCCCCGCCCCGCCCGCCGCUUCGCAGGCGGGACCCGAGCGGCAGCGGUGCCCGGAGGCGCACCCGCCCGCUCCGGGCCGCCCGCCGCUCACUCCUCCCGGGGCUGGGAGCCGGGGGGGGGGGGGGGGGGCGCCCGGAGUGACGGGGGGCGGGGGGGGCUGCUCGGGGUCGCGCUCAGCCGUCAUUUCCGGGGCUUUCCCUGGCAACCGUGCCAGCGUCCCCGGCAACGCAGGCGGCCCGGGAGGGGCCGUGGAACUUUCCAUCGCGCGCUGGGAGCGGGGGAGGACCGGGCGGGCGCCCGCGCUGCCGGCGGGGAGAGCCGCAGCGGCCCCGCGACUGGAGGCCCGCGCCCCGGCGCCGCCCGGUCCGGCCCCGGGAGCCCGCGUUCCCCCCGGGAGCGGCGGCCCCGCUUCGCCGCCGCCUGCCGAGGCUGCAGCCCGCCCGCCCGCCCGCCCGCCCGCCGCCGCCCUCACCGCUCUUGGCGGUGAAGUGCGUGUAGUCUGCCUUGUCUCAGACCGCGGAGAGUCCUCCUGGCCCCUCGAGCGGAGAUGGAGAGCCGAGAGCGGCUGGCGUUUCUCCGGCCCUGCUCCGCGGUCCCAUGGAGGAUCCACCCCCAAGGGUGGAGGGCUCCGAGGCGGCUCUGACUCACGCCUGUUAGCGCGGUUUCCACCAGACUCUCAACCGGAGCGACCCCCACAUCUGGCCCUUAGCUGGGAGCUCCUGGGGCGCUCCCCACCCAGACCCCCCCCUCCCUCCAGGCCAGACCAAGCCCCAGCCGUCCCUACCUCUCCAUCUGUGGCGCUUACCCAACACCCAUGAAGAAGUUAAUGAAAAACGAACUCGCUAUGGCCAAGCUGCUAAGCUGCUCAUGGUAAGCAGGUUGAGGUAUGAAGGAGUGAUUCUAUUCUUGCUUUAACUUAAACUUUGGAACUCUCCAGUCCUACACCAAUGCCUGCAUGUACCUCAGACCUUCAGACAACUGAAAACCACUGACAUCCGGACCGCCUGGCAUCCAGUGUGAAGACGAGGGUCACCCAGAGCAGUGGUCGGCAAACUCAUCAGUCCACAGAACCAAAUACAACAGCACGACGACUGAGAUUUCUUUUGAGAGCCAAAUUUUUUAAACUUAAACUUCUCCUAAUGCCACUUCUUCAAAAUAGACUCACCCAGGCCGUGGUAUUUUGUGGAAGAGCCACACUCAAGGGGCCAAAGAGCCGCAUGUGGCUCGCGAGCCUUGGUUUGCUGACAACAGGCCUAGAGGAUUACCCAUCCAGAGGCUGAGAAUGAACUGAUUCUUCUGAAAAAUGUACCCUAUGAGCUUUUCUUUCUUCUCAGAAACACUCCAAGUAGUGCCUAACUGUGUUACCAGGUUGCCAACCCUAAGAUCCUUGGAUAAAUCUUUGCCAUUUAUUUCUGUCAAA